UACACUCCUACGGGAGGCAGCAGUGGGGAAUUUUGGACAAUGGGCGAAAGCCUGAUCCAGCAAUGCCGCGUGAGUGAAGAAGGCCUUCGGGUUGUAAAGCUCUUUUGUCAGGGAAGAAACGGUGAAAGCUAAUAUCUUUUGCUAAUGACGGUACCUGAAGAAUAAGCACCGGCUAACUACGUGCCAGCAGCCGCGGAAAUACGUAGGGUGCAAGCGUUAAUCGGAAUUACUGGGCGUAAAGCGUGCGCAGGCGGUUUUGUAAGUCUGAUGUGAAAUCCCCGGGCUCAACCUGGGAAUUGCAUUGGAGACUGCAAGGCUAGAAUCUGGCAGAGGGGGGUAGAAUUCCACGUGUAGCAGUGAAAUGCGUAGAUAUGUGGAGGAACACCGAUGGCGAAGGCAGCCCCCUGGGUCAAGAUUGACGCUCAUGCACGAAAGCGUGGGGAGCAAACAGGAUUAGAAACCCCUGUAGUCCCAUGA
rnacentral:rRNA from 1 species